GGCCUUUUAUAAGUUCUUCUGCCCAUGAG
rnacentral:piRNA from 1 species